UAUCGAUAUCGCCAUUACCCAUCCCUGGCAGCAUAGCGGCGCUUUUGUUUUGUUUUGUUAAUUCUUUCGGAUAAAAUGUCCGUUGUGGCGCAAGACGAAAAUCGAUGGAAAACUGCACAGGCAUAUGUUCUGCAAAAGAAGAAACCGAAUAAGAAAAGGAAAACAUAAAUCAGCAGCCAGAUGAACCAGGCAGCCAGUGGCAGGAAUGAGGAUGUCCCCCGACAGAUGAGUCAUUGGCAGGCGGACGGAGAGAGAGAACGUAUAACAGCUGCCACCGAAAAAAUCGGAGGAGGAAAGCGCAUAAAUAAGGAGAGACAUAUACAGCUGUGGGAAGGAAACGUCAUAGCUGGCCGUCGACGGCAGCAGGAAACUGUCGCACAUUAACACGCUGGCAAGGACAAUGGCAAUGGCGACGACGCCAUUAGUGUUUGACAAGGACAUCUCACACAGGCACGGCAGACACACACACACACACGCGCCCAAGCCAUACACAAAGACACCACAAUAUGAAGAACAGCCAGACCUUCCUUCCACACAGAACACAGGACAGAACAGAACCGAACGGAACGGAACACCGGCCCCCCCACCCGUUCCAUGGUGGUGUGGUCAAGUUGAAGGAUAUACUGCUUGUGCCGGGAUGGAGCAAGAGUAGGAGCAGGAGCGGGGGGUGGCAAAAUGGACGCAUGCCUUGGGACGCCUGAAAGCAUAAAUCAGCCAUGGGGUGGCAGCUCCGCAGCUCUUUAGCUCUUCAGUUUGUGGCUGCGCACUUCUGACCAAUAAUUAGUUUGGGCAAUUGGAUUCGUUAUUUGAAUUAAGUUUUCCUUGCAGAUGACGACUGGCUAAUGUAUGAGCUGUUGACAACGCUAAG